rnacentral:ncRNA from 2 species
GGACGAGCCCUUGGAGAGACUCGAAUUGAGCACCGAAGGAGCAAGCUUGUGAAAACUAGUGAAACUCUCAGGUAAAAGGACAGGGGAUAAUAU